UAAGCAGGUUCAGUAAAGAAUCGAGUGAUUGGUUCACGCCAGGCUUCCAUUGUAGAGCGGUUAGCAGUUAUCAAUAAUCAACGUGCAUAUGAGUUGUAAAUUUUUUAAUUGGGAAGAAAAUGGUAGAGAAAUAAACUUCUCAUAAUUAAACUUAAAGUAACAGUAUUAUCGCCAGUGGGAGUAUGGAAAAAAAUAAGUUUCGGGAUUAUCGCCAGUGUGUUUUGUGUGUUGUGAUUCUGUCCGGACGAGUCUGCGCCAGAACGUGACUUCAGUGAAUGGACUGGAAUGGACUCUACGAGAAAAACCUAGAUCCUUUAUGUUAAAUGAUUUUUAAACAAAUGGACGUAUCAUUAUCACAAACACGUGUGUGACAAUUGGAAAUUUUUUUCGGACAAACUUUUUUUUUGUUUCGACACUGUGUCUUGAACAAUUCGACGAUCGCGUACGAUAAACAUGCGAGGCUCCGGAACGCCGGUUGAUGAAAUAAUUUAAUAAUAAAGGAGAAAAGUUCAUUCUCGCUCCGAAACUUCUCAGGCAUUCCACGAAAUAAUAACGUAGUUUUGUCAAGCUUCGACCCGGGACAACCCUCAACCGUUUUGCAAGGUUGACCAUGCGCCCAACAUAAUUGACCUUUUUUUUUAUCUUAUUGACGCGCAGAACACAACAAUGGCUUCCAAUUCGCAAACCGUACCGAAACUUUUGCGAAAUCUCCGUGACAACGGAAAAUUUGUUUUACAAUGCGGUGCCCUAACCUACAUCCGCAGCAAUGCAGAAAAACUGGAAACAAGUUCUGCACUAAGCAAAGAAGAAUAUGCUGAAAUAUGUAAAUUAGUUAUGGAACUGUCAAUCAAUGGUGAUCAAAAUACCAAAAAUGAGGCAACAAAAGCUUUGCAUAUCAUUGUCAAGCAUUUUAAGAAACAUAGUCUCAAAUUCUUUGAGUCUGCUCUUUUUAUCGAAAGAGAAAAGAGGCUAAAAAUAUUUCAAUUUCUGGAAGCAGUGGAUGACAGCUCCCUUAUGGUCAUUAUCAAUGAUCCACCGACCAUUAAUUUUAUAGAAGACUGUUUGAGCCCCGUUCAAGUUGCUUCGAUGGAAUGGCUUUCACCCAAUUCCUGCACAGACAAUUUACAAAUUCUAAAAGCAGCUGAAACUAAAAUUGUUUCUGGCAUUGAAGAAGUCGAAGAAAUUAUUGUGCAUAACACUUUAACGCUCCUUCGUAAUAUUUAUAGGACAGCCAGUAGUUGCACGAAUAAAGUUUUGGAAAAGUUUGAUGUUCUUGUGAUGAACAAAGUCAUGACAUUGGCUUACAUGGGUCAUGAGAGGCAACGUUCUCCUGCGAUAAAGCUGUUGUUCCAAGCGAUUGAUUCAGAUCUGUCAACACGAAUAAAGACCAAAGAACCAAAUGUUUAUUCAAAAUACAAGAACGAUAUCGAAGGACCAUACUGCGCACGGAUGAUGCUCCUAGUUAAAGCACGAGAGACCGAUUGGGCUAAGCUCUGGGCCAUAAGUGUUCAAAUUCUUGGUACGGAUCUCCAUCGCGGGGCUUCAUUGAUUAAUAAAUUAUUGAGUGUUGAAGAAAGAGCCUUCAAAUCAACCGAUACUAUGAUUCGCAGGGACGCGUUCGGAUCUUGGAAGUUGCUAGUGGAUAAUUUGGCCCUGGAUAUGACUGAAUUACCGACAAAAAGGCGGGUGAAAUUGUUGUGUGUGCCGCUGACACUAAACAAUAGUAAAAGCGAACUGAUAGCUUUGAAAAAAUUGGAAGUCUGGUGGCACUUGAUAUCAAAGUUGUAUCAGUAUAUAUUGCCAUUCGCGGAGCAGGUUGUGACCCCAUUUUUGAAUUUUUGUUUCGGUCCAUUGGGAGACACGCCGCUCUUAUCCUCGAAAUGCGACAUAAUCCCAUCACCUGGAAAAAGAUUUUACAAAACUCAAAUAAGCGCAAUUGAUGCGUUACUUCAACUUCUCGUGGCCGAUCAAAACGAACGGAUUCUCAUGGCUUCCGAAUUGGAAGAUAAACUUCCGAGUUCCGUGAACGAUGAACUUUUCAAACAAUGUUACAAAGCUUUUAUUCACAGCGUUGGAGAAGCCGUUAUGAUUAUCUUCAAAUUCAAUGAUAACGAAAUGAAACACAAAGAAGAAAUUUGCACAAUUUUGUGGAGCAAUCUUAUACGUUACGUUCGAACCAUGAAUCAGGAAAUUAAAAAGAACGUAUACAAUGAAUUGAUAUUGCUGAUAUCAGAGCUCCAAAUCCGUUCCUUAAAAAAGGAAUGUCUUAACGAUUUUCUGCGCAACGCUAUUAUUCCGGAACUCGCAGGAGUCGCAACUAAUUUGGUAUAUUACGAUGAUACCCUCGUUAAUUUAAUGACAAAAAUAAUGGUCCCGACGUUUUUGAAAAAUCUGCAAGGAAAACAAUGCGAAGCUGUCAAAAUUCUCAUGUGGCAAACUGUCAGACCGGAAACACUUACGAAUUAUCAUCCAAAAACGCUACCGUUUCUUGAAGCUACGCUUCAACAGCUCCGAUCCAUUCCUAUCGACACCGAUUCGUUAACCGAUUGCUUCGAAUUAUGGUUCACGUAUGCGGAAAUAGCUUUUAAAUACAUGAAAGCUCUCCAGGAUGUAAACGAAGGAACAGGGACGGAAACAAACUUCAAAACUAUUGAAUCUAUAAUAAGUUUUCCGUUCACGCAUUUGUAUUGGGCCAAUUCAAUGCAGGCUCAGAAAAUCGCAGUCCAUUGGAAAGACGUUUACAAAAAGUACGAGUGCCAAGCUGACACAAUUGCGAGUAUUAAACCGAACCAAAUCUUCAACAAUACAACAAAAAUGAUCGACGAGUGUCUGGUGAAAAACGAAAAGGGAUAUCGAAUCGCGGUCUAUUGUCUCGACGCUCUCAUGGCCACUAUUAAUUAUAAAGCUAUGUUGGCUCAAAGCAAUAUCCCAACGAUCGUACGUUUGGUCGGAGACUUGACAACGAUAGCUCUCCACGAAGGACAACCUUCCGAAGCUGAAUGGGCUCUCAGGGCUCUCUCGUCUCUGCUCAUUACGGUUUACGGCCACAGUCCUCAAAAAGUUCUUUUUUAUCUGAAAGCCACGAGCCAAUCGGUCGAAUUGAUGUUGAAAACAGACGCCGAAGACGUCGUUGUAAAAGAGAUUACGAGCACGUGGGAAACGAUCGUGAGCAUUUUACGAGGCUUGAGCGCCGAUCUGGACGAAAAUUUUCUACAGUCUUACAGACAUAUAAUUUCCUUAUCGUUGAAGCACUCAUGCCCAGAAAUAUCGUCACAAAGUGUUGGCAUAUUAGAUUUGAAGGAGAAUGUGAAAGAAAACGCGAAAUCGAUACUCGCAGAAUUGGCUCAGGAGUGGAAGAAAACAUCGAUAAAAGAUCCAACGAAAUCGAAAGUCGAUAAAACUGACAGAAUGCCCAAAGCCGCAAGAGUUGCUGGCAGCUUUUUGAACCGUAAAAGUACGAGUCCUCGAACGCUCACCCGAGGCAAAGAAGAAUCGAACAAAAAACUUGCUCCUCUGCCGCCCGAACCUGAUUCUCAGGAUUACGUUGUUAUCCAGAGUGAAAUUGAUCUCGACGUUGAUCGUUUGACAGAACAUCAGAAAGAAAUAUUCAAGAAGAGACGCGACCAUAUUAUUACCAUAUACAACAAUUAUUCGCAAUCCUCAUCCCAGGAUACUCAGGAUUUGCAGCAAUGGUUCGGUGGAAAGAAAAACACCAAUGAGCAGCAACAAAAAACUUCGGCCAGCGAUGCAACGAAAGGAGACACGAAAGCUGCAAAUAUCGAUUUUCAAACAUUCAAAGGAGACGCAAGAUCUAAGAACUUCAAUGCGGAAACUCUACCAGUGAAAAUGAAAUCUACGGCGGUUGAUGCAAAGAGUCUAAAAGUCGACACGAAAUCCGCGAAUGUUGAAAUGGAAGUUGCAACGACAGAAACAACGAGUUCACAAUUCAACAGGAAAUCCGUGAACGUUGAUCCAAAGAGCUUGAAUGUCGACACGAAAUCUAGCAAUGCUGAAGCGAAAGUAGCAAAAAUUGAGGCAAAGUCUCCACAAGUCACUGUUGACAUUAUUGACGCUCGUUCUAAAACCACAAACAAAACUGUCGGUCCGAAAACCGUUAAAACUUUCACGGAUGUUGACUCAAAAACGUUGAAGGUUGGCAUAGAAUCCGCAAAUCCGGAUUCGAAAGUUCAGGAAAUUGAGGUGAAAUCGACUCUUGAAGGGUUCGCUUCAAUUGCCACGGUUACUCCUAAAGUUGAGACAAAGUCAACGAACGUCAAUACGAAAGCUCCUAAAAUUGGUACUGAGGUCGCGAAAGCUGGCCCAAAGUGCUCGAAAAUCCAUGAAAAAGUGGCAACCGCGAACAAAGUUGAAAACCCUAUAGUUUCGCUUGAAAAAAUGGUGACUCCUGUAACCGUCACGAAAACUGUGGAAGCUAAUCGUGAACCAGAAGAAAAAUUAUCAAAAAUGAAAAAAUCGCCAGAAACGAUAUCAAGCAGCGCUCAAGAUCCGAAAAACGAAUCGAUAUUGCUCGGAGCUGAGUCCCUCGAAGAACCUCAAAACUUCGAGAAGAAAAAGCCUGAAGAAGCUACGGAAGUCCAAAAUUCGAGUCCAGCGAGUGGCCAGUCUUACAUGAAAGAAACUAAGUCGCCAGAUUGUACGGAGCCAAACGAGCAAGAGUGUAUUGCAAAGAAAUUGAAUUUCGAUUUACGAGAUGAGUUUCCGGAAGAGGAAAAUAAUAUGGAAAAUUCAGAGAUUCGAUCAUUAAAUAAAACGAGUAGAAAUCUUCGAAGUGGAAAAGUGUGUGGGAUAAAUUCAGCGGAGGAAAAGCCACAGCAAGAAACUGUGACAAAAGGAGGUUCGUCGACUCGUGGAAAAUCGAUCGGCGAAAGCGAACAAAAAAGCACUGGUGAAAUCGAAGAAAGCGCAAAUACGGAUCCAAGAGGAGGAUUUGCGAGAAGAUCGAGAGCAGCUGCGCGAUCAGUUUUGCCCCCAACGGAGCGUGGGACGAAGCGGAAAGUGUGUUCAGACCUGGAGAACGAAGACAGCAGCGGCGAGCAAGAGAAAAAACGUCGGAAAUCGUCAAGGUCGCCUUCGGGUUCGGAAGAUUCAACGCCGUCGCAACUGGUAAAACGAACGGAAAUUGAAAUAUCUCGUUUGCGAAUAGACAUGAUAAACGACGGCCCGUUGAGAACGCGACGUCGCUCCAAGUACCUCAACGACUUCGUCGACAGCGAGAGUCUCGGAAAGCGAACGCAUUCGCCGGACGUGCACGGCAGAGCAGGGCGUGGUCGGGGCUCUUCGAACCCCCGAAAAAUGAUUAAAUCCACGGAAUUGGACGAUGCGGUGAAAAGACGUCGUGGAAGAUUCACUAGAUUGCAACAAGAGGACGAAAAAACCGAGGUAAGAAAAGAAAACGAGAGCGGAGUUCAAACCACGAAACCUUUGAGGUCGACGAGAAGCAGACAAAAGAGAAAUGUCCAGGAGAGUGGAGCUGCUUCUGAAUCGCAGCUCAUUACGGACGAUGACGAAAUCAUAGAAGAAGUCAAAUCGACGCUGGACGAGGAAUUUCCGAAGGAAAGCGUCGAAGACACUUCAGUAAAACGCGACGCUUACGAAGAACCCGCAAUUCCUGAAGCUCCGAUCAAACCCACAGAAGAAACAAGCGAAACGCAAAUGGACCUGGACCUCGACGAAGUUGUCGAAAGUUCCCAAAGCUCGAAUAUCUCGACGACGCUGAAAUCAUUCGGCAAAAUCGUGAAAUCGAUAAACGUGGAAGGGAAACCGAAUGUCGAGCAGCUUCCGGUCGAAACUUUGAUAGAAAAAAAACAGCCGACAGCAUCAUCUCCGAUAAAUCCUUCGAGUACGGGGAUUAUAAAUGAGAGCGGCGAAAAUAUUGUAGAAGAUCCGGACGAGACGUUUUUGGAUAUCAGUGCGAUUCGGCCACAGCUCGCUGACGACGUUCCAGUGGAAGAGCCGGAAAAGAAAGCGCCGGAGGCGAGCAAAACAUCGGCAAGUCCGGUGUCCACGAAACCGGAAACGAACCUCCACAGCGUUUCGCCAAAAACGCACGGAAAACGUUUCACAAAAAGCAAAAGUUUUGUUCCCCAAGGUCGCACCGCACACAUGCUUGGUCUCGUGACCAAACUCGGGGUCUUAGAAAAAGAAAGUUCCGCAGAAAAGAAUCAAAUCGACGAAGAAGUUGCGAUAAUGGGCAAAAUCGAGAGAUUACGAUCGCUCGCGCGAUCAAUUGGGAGAUCGAAAGAGAACGAGGGAGAGAUUUUGUUCUGCAGGAAAACUAACGUCGUCAGAGAGCCUGAGAAAAUGGGAAGUCCGAGCGGAAGCCGGCAAGAAAAAAUAUUCAACAAUAUGAAAUCGGCCGAUUACGCAGCCUCGCCUCCGGGAAAGAUGUUCUCCAAUUUGAAGAACAACGGCGAGAAAAUAUCACCGAAAAUGGAGAAAUCCCUAGCAGAGUCUCAAGAGAACGGCACUGCUGGAAAGGAAGACGGAAUUAAUAUUUCUUUAGCGAGCGAAAGGGAAGAAUUGCCGAUUCUGGAAUGGUCCAGCGCGAAUCCGCCCUCGUUAACCGCCUCUCCGAGCGUGAGUAUCCUCAAACGCAAUCGCUCGAUCGUAAACGAAGUAGAACCGGAUCCCCCAACGCCGGUUAAACCGCCAAGAAAGCGGGUCAGCUUCGCCGAUCCUCCGGUCUCCAAAGAAAUGGGUUACGAGACCGAGGCAGCUACGUCGCCUCAUAAAAUUGCCAAAUACAACGCUUCCCGAGGAUUAUACGGGCGCAGAGAUUCACCAACAAGAGUGAAACAAUCCAAAUACGUAAUGAUCUCAGUCGAUACUGAAAAGUUCGUGCAAUCCGAAGAACCACAAGUUCCCAACUGUGAGGUCGAUGUAAACUGUGCCAGAAACGACCAACUGUCGAUGGAAAUCGCCGAGGAGCUUGAGGAACUGGCGAAUGUUGAAACGUCUGAAAAAAAUGAAAGCUUCCCAUCGACCUCGGUCCCGGACGUCAUGACGGUAAUGACCCCAGCUCACGAAAUCAUCGAAAUCGAGCAAAUUCAGAAAAUUACCGAAGAAGCGAUGGAGACUUGCACAACCGAUAAAAACGCAUUAAUCGAGGAAAGUCAAACUCAGGACGAUCUGUUCAACAGCAGUGACGAGAAAAACGACAGCCCGAAACAGCCAGCAAAUCGACGCAACGAUGUGCUCAAAGAAUCUUUCAACGUGUCUUCGGUGAGCAGCCUCGAUUCGUUCAAACUCAAUGUUACCGAAGAUUCUGUAAUCGGUGCCGUGAGCGAUGUACAAGCAGAAGAAACAACGAGACCGGUGGACAAUAAUCUCGAGGACACUGUUGACGCUCGGAACGUCAUGCUUUCGAGCUUGGAGGAAAAUCUGAACGAUCAAUUCGACACGAUGCCCAUUCACACGAGCUCUCAGAGACCUGAUCCGAUCAGCGAAAUGGAUACACUUCCGGUUGGCGAUUCUAUACUCAGCAGCCAACCGAACACGAUGGACAGCCAAGGCUCGACUCUGCCUGUGCUCGAAAUAACUCGUCCGGACUUGCUCAAUUCGACCGAGCCGAUUUAUCCGAAUCUGAACGAUUGUGACGAACCGAUCGACUCCAUCAUUGAUAAUCUCACUAAUCCUCUUUGGCGAAAAAAUCUCUCCAAGUAUCUAGAAACCAGAUGCAUCAGGACAGUAGGAGAUUUGGCUAACUUGUCCGAACGCGAGAUCGUCCGGAUUCCAGUCAAAGGAACUUCCAAAGUUGAUUUCGUACGUAAAGUUCUACAAAGAUACGAGUCUAAGCUCCGCGACUCCGAGGCUGAAAAACGACCCGAUCAACAUCCGGAAUCUGAUCGUUUCGAGGAAAAAAACACUGUUCCAAAAGCCGUCCAACUGUCCGACGAGCUUCGCAAAACUUUGGGAGAUAUUUCUUUGGACAACUCGAAAAUACAGCCCGACUCCAUGGACCUUGACAAUUCUGUUCUUCGGGCUCAGUCUACCAAUGAUUUCCUUUCCAUCGACGAUUUAAAUCCCUUGCAACCUCUCGCACGAACAUCAACUACCAAUUCCAUUUCUACGCUUGUCAUCGAUUCUUCUACCGAACCAGAAAUCACCGUGGACCUCGGAAUCACCGCUGAACUCAACGAUACUGCAAGCGUUUCUAGAAUGAAAACGAUCGAUUUAGCUUCUGAUACUUUACCGGUGGCUACCGCAUCUGUUGCUACUUCCACCGAUCCUGUUCUCACUUCAGUCACAUCCGUCGGAACCCAAAUCGAUAUUGAAGAAUUCGUAGAUGGUAUUGAUGUCGACGUUCUGCUCAAAAGUGUCGUCAAACGAGUCAGCGCUGAGAAACUCCUGAUGGAAUACGUGCUUAAAAUGGAACAUGCCUCCGAAACAGAAAUAUGUGAAAAAACGAUUGAAACAUUAGGAAUCGAUAACAAAACGUUAUUGAAAUUGGUCUGUCGUAAAUGCGGUUUGAAGAAGCUCCUCCACGAAAUUCCCGAUAUUUUCGAAAUGGAAUGAUUCAUUGGCUUCAAAUUGACGUCGGUAGACCGAAGACUCGCCGUUCUCUAAAUAUUCGUAUGUAUAAAGUGUUCCUCGAAGAACUUUAACUUACGUUACUCUAAGUAUUAACAGUGAAUAAAAAAUCGAGAACGAUUGAUUGUUUAUCUGCCUCGAUUUUCAUUCACACAUCGUUCGACGUGACUGAAUCGAGUCUUAUUCAUAAUAAGUUAUUAUAAAACGGGCACGAUCGCACCAUUGACAUUACGAUUUAAAGAUCGAGCAGUGUACAUAUGACGGAUUGAUAUCCGCGAAACGGUAUCGACAAAACUUAGCGUAAACUCCACUUUUUUUGCUUCAAUUCUCUCUCAAUUAAAUCUCGAUGAUUGUCUAUAUUUUGCUGAAUGUGCUAAAAUAAUGGGUUUUUUAAUCGAAUUCGAUAUUUCGUUUCAAAUGCAUUUUUGAAUCGACGCCAUAAGAAACAUUGUGACUUGUAUAUACACAGAUAUGUACGCAUGAGGCAAAGCUCAAAAGCAGUCAAACGAAAAAGGAAAAAAAGAAACAAAAAACAUUUUGGCUAAUGAAAAAUAAUCAAAAUAGUGAAAAAAUGUUAAAUUACUUAAGACAAUCGACGUCAAUUCGGUGUCGAUUCUUGGAGUUAUGACAAUUAGUAAUUGUAAGAAUAAUCGAUUUAAGCUCUUCAACUGAUUUACUGUUAAGUAAAAUAAACUGAAAGAUAUUUUAUACAGAAAAAUUGUGUUAAUUCAAUGCGGACGAAAAAAGUAUCAUCGGAAUCCUCAUCCUGAAGAAGAGGAAGAAAUGAGGUCAAAAUGAAUUGUUGUGAAUGGAGAGACCAAAUUUCGAUCGUAAUUGUUAACGAUCUUGAGAAAUACGGACUCGCGAUGACGUACGAAGUAAAAGUAUCACGCAACUGUCGACCGGGGCAAACCCUUUAAAGUUUCAUAACUUCUGCGCGUGUUCCGGAUUUCAAUUCUAUUAUUAUUUGGAACUGCCGAUGCGAAAAAAAACACGAGCUCUCAGUAAAUCGUUGACGGUUUCGGUUUUGGUACAGAAAAUAUUUUCUUUCUUUGCAAAUACCGACUUCUGCCGGGAAACGAUUGAAUCCGUCGCAGUCGAAUACUCAAAUACAUUCUCUUAAUUGAAAAUUGUGUUUUUGAACAAGGCUAGAACGACAAUUGGGUCAUACGAGAUAUUCAGAACUUCAAAUUACCAUUUCUGUCCUCCGAACAACUGGAAAUUAUCGUGUCAAUGAAACUCUCUUCGGACUUUUCGGUUUUAUGAUCAAAUGAUCCGUAACAAAAAAAACGAAAAAAUGAACAAAAACCUUCGUUUGAUUGUAUAUUUUUAGUUGGAUGAUAAGUGGACAAAAAAAAUUCGCGCGAAAAAUAGGAAUUUCAGGCUAAGCAUUGAAUUAGAAAAACUCGGGUCGAUUACAGAAUUCUGCAUUUUUUUAUACGAUUCUCAUAAAUUUCGUGUUUGUCGUAAUCGAUAAUUGUUGCAAAAUGAGCAAACCUCAACUGCACUCGAAUUUUCCAUCUGUCGGACGGAGGAACAAUUGAAACAUCAAAUUCAGAAUAACUUAGACAGCAAUCACCAAUUCUUCGAACGUAUCCGAUGCUCUACCUUGACGAAUGCCUAACGUGGAAUCGACUAUAUGUACAAUACGUGCUCUCUGAGGCGUAUGAGAACUCUGAGUAUAGAAAUCCUAACGUGUAUUAAUGAAUUUCGUAUUUUUUUCAUGACUUUAACGAAUUAAUAACAUGAUUGUACAGUUGCUGCUACUGCGUAACGUUUUAUCGACGAAAAAGUGACGCUCUGUCGUUUGAAAGCGUCAUAUUGUAACGUGUCAAACUUCGAACGUUUCGAGCACGCCGAAAAAUCUAAGAGCUUUUUGCGAAACUUCUCUGAAACUGCUCAAUCGAUUGAGACUAAAAAUAUUUCGCUCACGUACGAAAAUAUAAAAAAUGAGUUUAACUUUUCGUUUGGAUGCUCAUCGAUCGAGCUAUUUUGAUAAGAGAAAAUUUGGAAUAAAUAGCUCAAGUUUUGAUUGCGGGAGUUUGGUGAUCGAAAUCUCAAAAUCUUGUAGUGUGUCUUUUUUGUUGUCCGAAAUACCUAGCACGCGUGUUGUCAUAGCAUGAACAACGGAAAUGAAAGAAAAAAGUUAAACAAAUAACAGGAAAGAAUUGUGUUUGACAAAAAAAAAACAUUGCGAGCAGAAUUGUAACCUCAAAUUGACUUUCGGUCGAUGGCUGAAACUCAGUGACUCGUGACGAAACAGCAGCGCGUUCCUGUUCUUGUAUAUUUAUUCCGGCGAAAUGAAUGUCGAAAGAAUCAGGCAAAUAAAAAAUAUUUGUUUGACCACAUAACACGUGCGAACGACUUGGAUUUUUAGGGACUCGAAGUUAACUCGUGUUUAUAUACUUUCGUCUCAAAUUUUGUUUCCCAUUACCAUUUUAACGAUUUUAUUUAUUUUAUUUAUUCGGAUUUAACUCACGCGGUCUCCUGUGUAUAUUUUUCUCCUUUCUCUCUUGUAAUAUUCUUACGUGUAUGAUUAAACGGUGUAAGUUCAGCAAAACUAUCGUCUCCGACGUCAUAGUGAAAGUACUGCGAACUCCACAUUACGCUUGAUAGAAUCUUACGGGGAAAAACCCUACCAGAUGAUCUCGAUGAAAAAUGUUAAAUUUUGUAUCCACGAAUCCGAGUAGAAAACACUGCGAUUACUUAAUCAUUCCUCGUUUGCAACAAUUAUGGAAAUCUCGAUUACGAACAAGCAAUAUCCGAUCUUAUAAAGGAGGAAUCACCAAAGUUAAGAUUUGGACAGAAGUAUAUGCGGAUGGCUGAAAACUUCUCGAGUUUCAUUUAUUCGUCUGGAAAAAUUAAACGAUUAACUUUCAUUGUUUAUUCGACGAAAUAACGUCGAGUUGAAUUACAGUUGAGGAGAAGUGGGAUCAGAAUAAACUUUUGGUCAGCUAAUUUAGAGUCGUGCAAACAAUUUAUGUCGUCGAAAGAGAAGAAAUGAUCAUUCCGAAGGAAAUUGCAACAGUCUCGCAUCGUUCGAGUUAUUAUAUCUCGGAGCUUGAGAAUAUUGAGUAAACUGUAUCUCGAAGGUAGUUUUAGAAAUAGUCCAUUGGCCAAUAAAAGGAGAAUGAUCGACGUACAAAAUGCCUAAAAUUGUUUGGGUCUUUGUGAAAUGAACCUUUUUUAUAUCGUCGAGUAAAAUAUUUAUGAUGCACUUUCGGUAUUGAAAAUAAUCAGGAUUUUAUCGUCCGUUAAGAAUGCUCUUUGGGGCACUACGGAACAAGCAAUAAAGGAAUAAAGGAAAAGGGGAUUUUCUGACUUAAUGGAUUAUUCGUUCGAGAGGAGAAGAAAGUUUUGCUCGACGUUUGCCUUUUACCGAGCACAUUCACGCGCUUCGCACAGGGCGAAGGCUCUUACACGAGAGAUGCACGUUGCGUAAUUCAUCCCGGUUCGAAACGAGAGUGAGAGGAAAUGAUGAGGCGGAAAGAGAGGUUAUGUUUACUUAAGCACGACCGACGACCGAAUAGUCACGUGACAGCGUUAUAAUUAACGUCUUUAUAUACCUGAUGCUCAGUGACAAGUGGCAAGGAUAUUCGACAAGAAUAAAAAAAUAAUUGAAUGAGCGUCGUCAUUCUUUGUAUUUUUUUU
rnacentral:misc_RNA from 1 species